rnacentral:lncRNA from 1 species
UGGAUGAUGGAUGAUGGAUGGAUGGAUGAUGGAUGAUGGAUGGAUGAUGGAUGAUGGAUGGAUGGAUGAUGGAUGAUGGAUGGAUGAUGGAUGGAUGGAUGGAUGUCUCACCAGUCCCACACCAUAUCAAACCCAAAAGAGGAGACAGAAGAUCCCUUUGGCCGUGUUUUCCAGCUUAAGAAAACUCCUGAAGCUACAAGGAGGGGUCGAGGUCUGAGUUCUUGGUCAGAACUGGCACCAGAAGCUUUGCACUCAGCCCUCCUGGGCACAUGGAGCCCUUCCAGCUGCCAGCUGUGGGAAUCAGCUCAUGCUGAAGAUGCUCCAUCUCCUGCUGGCUCCCUCCAGCCCUGCUGCCACACCCGGGGAUAUGGAGCCACAGGAUCCUCCAGCAUCCAAACUGCUCCAGGCCUUCCAUUAUCCACACCUCUGCAAGGAGAUUGCUCAGCUCAGCAGAUCUGAAAUCUCCAUGCUGACAGAUGGGAUGUGACGUGACAGGAGCAGCACAGCUGGCAGAGAGGAGACAUCCCUUCCCUUCCUGAAACCUCCCAAGUGCUCCUCAGUAACCCCAGUGCUCGGAAAGCUCUGUGGUUCCUGCAGGAAUCAUCUCCCGGGUGGAUGUUUGGUUCCUCAGGGGAAGGAGGCAGCAGCUGUGUGUCAGCACAGCCAUUGCACAACCCCCCAGGCUGGGAAGAGCUGGUGGAUCCAGCUGAAAGAGGAAUUUUGGAUCACUGGAAUCUUGCUGUCAGCACUGGGCUGUGGCCAGGUUGCCAUGGGACACCUGUGCCUUUGGGGUUUGGGUUGUGCAGGGAAUCAAGAUGCCAAGGCUCUGGUGAGCAGCAACAGCCACGGGGAGAGCGUGGAGCCCAUGUGAGUGCCCAGGGUCAGGGUGGGGGUGCCUGGGGGUUCCCUGUGCCGGGGCAGGGCAGGGGGUGCCAGGGAUGGAUCCCUGUGACAGGGCAGGGGGUGCCAGGGAUGGAUCCCUGUGACAGGGCAGGGGGUGCCAGGGAUGGAUCCCUGUGACAGGGCAGGGGGUGCCAGGGAUGGAUCCCUGUGACAGGGCAGGGGGUGCCAGGGAUGGAUCCCUGUGACAGGGCAGGGGGUGCCAGGGAUGGAUCCCUGUGACAGGGCAGGGGGUGCCAGGGAUGGAUCCCUGUGACAGGGCAGGGGGUGCCAAGGGGUGCCGGGGAUGGAUCCCUGUGCCAGGCCAGGGGGUGCCAGGGAUGGAUCCCUGUGCCAGGGCAGGGGGGGGGGGGGGGGGGGGGGGGGGGGGGGGGGGGGGGGGGGGGGGGGGGGGGGGGGGGGGGGGGGGGGGGGGGGGGGGGGGGGGGGGG